rnacentral:ribozyme from 14 species
AAUAAAUUGAAAAGACAGAAUAUAGAAAAGGUGGAGAAAAGGAGAGGAGAAGUUUUCAUAUAUUUUUGUACGUUAUUCUUCAUCUACUUU